GCACAUCUUGUACUAUAUCAGUACCUGGAACAUGAGAUGAUCAAAUUAUCGAUUUAUUUAAAUUUUAUCUUUUCAUUAAUUUUCUUUUCUAUUUCUCUUUAGAAAUUAAAAAAAUCAACAACAAUAUUAAACACCAAUAUUCAAACAUUUUUUAACUUAUAUAUAAUCAGUAAACGAACACAAAAAUGGGCUUCGUAAAAAGGAUGUUUUAUUACCUCAUGAAAUAGCCGCAUGCGCGCUACUGUCCUCGAAACUUCGUUUAGUCGAGACCUCUAGUGAGAAACUUCUCAUUAAAGUUCAUUUCGUAAGGAGCAUUGAUAUGUGCACGAAGCCUUAUAUAUUAGUGAUGUAACAUUUGUAUACUUAUAUUGAAUCUCUCUCUUAGUGUUAAAAUCAUAUAUCGUGAUCAAAAGAGACAAUACAAAUAUACUUUUCUCUUUUCGUCUUUUAUGUAUUGCAAACAAAAAUAAUGGAUACAUAGUAUAUGGUGUUUCAAACUGUCAAAUCGCGAUCAUGAAAUCAAAGUAUACAUCAUGGCGUAUCUAUAAUAACUAUAUCGAAUGGUUCAAAGUUGAACGAAAAUAGAAAAGAAAGAAAUUGAGAAAAAGAAAGAAAAAAGGAAAUAAAAUAUAAAUAAUAAAGAGGAAAAAAGAAGAAAAAAAUACAGAGACAGAAGAAAAGAGAGAGUGAAUCUUCUCAUUUAAAAAUAUAAAGAAUAGCACGGGAAAAAGAAGUGAUUAGUGCCAAUCAUUGUUUGAAUAUUACUUUUAUAUUGUGUUGAUCCAACCACACGGAUGCGUUAAUUGAUAUAAUAAAUGUGACAGUGACUAUCACUAAUAGCUGUGGAAUAUCACGACACAUUUCAUCUUUCUAUCCGUUUGCAUUUCUAUAUAUACCUCACUUAACCUGUAGAUUUAUGGAUAUUUGCUUCGUGGAAUUCUAUAACUGCAGAUUUUCCUAUUAGUUUCUUUCUAGUUUUAUUUCUAAUUUCUCUUUCUCUUUGCAAUUAUAUGCAGUAUCCUUUAUUAUAUUCUUAUAGAAUUUUAAGAUAUGGAAUUGAUAUAAUUAAUAUUUUCUAUAAAUUUUAAUUUAUUAUCAUCAUUAUAAUUGAUGUUUUUUUUUUAAUAUAUACAGAGAAGAUUAAACGUUAUAUAAUCCUUCAUUAUAUAUCAAGAUUUAAAUUACAAAUUUAAAUUAAAUGCAAUCUUUUAUAAAAAAAAAAAAACUAUAAAAACUAACAUGAUAUAUUAUUAUGUUAUGCAUGAUUAAUGUAAAAUUAUUACAUAAUAGAUUGUCGUAGUCAUAAAUUACAUUAAAAAAAGAUAUCAUUGAAUUGAAGUCAUCACAAAUUUUGUGCAUGAUAUUAACGAAAAUUAUAUUGAAUACAUAAUGAAUAUGUUCCUUUCAAAAAAAUUGUAUGGUUUUUCAUUAACAAAAUAUGAUCGAAAACAAUCUAUGACGUCAGAGAAAAUAUGAAAGAAGUGUUUAAUAGUAAACUGCGCUACAUAUUAAUUUAAUAUUGAUAUUGAUAUAAUAAUGAUUAUUUUAUUCCUAUAUAUAUAAUAAAAGUAAAUUUAUAUUUUAUUUUAAAAAACAUUUAACAUUAUUUAACGCACAAACACUGUUGCGAAAAAUAAUAGGUUAUUUUUUUGUUAAACCAAGGUGUGUAGAUUUCAGAUUUUACGGCAGCUGAACGUGACUAGAAAGAGCGUUACGGCCAAUUUAAUAGCAUUCAUGCGAGAAUUGACACUUGACACGUGGUGCCGUUUGACCGAAGGUCGAUCGUUAUUCAGGAUUAAGCAUGCGCGUGAAAACAGCGCCAAAAUCACUGGACUCGCCUAACCGACCGUUGUUUUCAUAUUCUCUAAAACAUUGUUUAUAAUAACUUCGCUUUUUUUCAUUAUUUUACAGCCUUCGAGAAUAUUUAUCUGAAAUUCUGCAAUAAUGCAUGACGAUAGUAUAAAAGAGAAACAAAAUUAAAAAACCAGUAAAGGAAUUUUGAGGAUAAUCACUUGCAGCCAAUCGGUCAUCGACCUUUGCCUUGCAACGUAUAUGUAAAUAUAAUAUACGUUUUGCACGUUAGAUGUCGCUCAUUAUGCAUUUUAAAUGAUAAUCUCAAGAAAUUAUAAAUUACACUAUGGAUUAAAAUCAAAACAAUAAAUACUAUGUGGAGCUUGCAUUCGACAUAUUAAAGCAAGAAAGAUUUUUUGCUCGUUCCGUGUAUCUUUAUCUUUAUUACUCAUUCAUUAUCACUAUAUUUUAUUUAGUAUCAGACUUAUUCCCUCUUUUUACUACGCAUCGAACUAAUGUGAUAUUUUCUGCCAAUAGGGAAAAUAUGUGUGACAAGGUCAUUUUAAGUAAGAGUAAGACAGCGUUCCAGCCAAUUAGACCUACAUUCCUUUCCAAUGCAAACUCUCGAGUUUCAAUACAUUUUUAGAUGGUUCACUACAUCUUCUUGAUUAGAAUUAAAACCAGAAUCAUAUUAUUAUUAAUGCUAUGUUAAUCAUGAUCACAUUUUAAUAUUCCGAGUUUUUUAUGAACGAGAAGGUUCAACAAAUAAAUGAAUAUCAAUAUUUAAGAUAUAUUGUUAUUCAUCUUUUGGAUCAAUAAGAAUCGAUAUGACAGGCCCAAUCGACAGGCCCACAGGUCACAGUUUCUUUUCAUGAGAUGUAAAAGGAGACGAUCUUGUAUUAGUAACUGUAAGCGACUUCACCUUCCAUCAGCAGGGGGCAACAAGCCUGUCAGACAACGAUGCGGACACGACAAUAAUAACACAAGACAGAGAACACGCGAGAAAUGGACAUAGAAAAUUUCUAUAUAUAUAUAUAUAUAUAGUAUAUGUUAGUAAUAUUCUUGACUCGAAGAAAAUACAAUAUUCAAUAUUAUAUCAUUGAAGUUUAUCUUUCUGAGCUUGUUAAAAAUCUAUUUUUAUAUAAAUUUGAAAAAGAUCUUUAAGAUUUUCUUCAUAAUAUAUAUAAUAUGUAUGAAAUGAAAAUUAAUUUUUAUUAUUAUAAUUUUGAUUGCCUAAAGAUUAUUAUAUAUUUUAUUUCAUAUUUGGCUGAAAUAUUUAUUUCAAAACAUCUGUAAAAUAUCCAUACUCGCUAUGGAUAGAUAUUAAGUAUGAUGAUUCACCUGUUAUAUUAUGUUUAUACAAAAUUGAAAAAUAACAGACGUAUAUUGUGCUGAUACGAAUAAAAACAGAAUUCAAUUUAAUAAUCAAAUCAGAAGUUUUUUUACAAAUAAGUUAAUAAUUUAAAAAAUUAAAAGUAUUUUAACUAAAAAAAUUAUAAUGUAUGCUACAUUAAAUAAAUCUUGAAUUAAUAAUUAUCAUAUUUAUAGAAAAAUAUAAUAAUUUAAAUAUUUAAAAAAUAAAAAAAUAUAAAUAUAAAAUAAUUUAAAAAUAAAUAUAUUGGAUAGUCAUGCGGUAUUGUUGUCUUCGUUAAUGUCAUCGGUCAUCGCGUUAAUAUAUCAUUUCAAUUUGUAAAAAUAUUUUAAAAUUAUUGCAUUUAUAAUUGCUUUUAUGUAAUCUAAUUAAAAAUUGAAAAAUCUAAAGAAUUUUUUUUUAAAUAAUUAAUGAUUGUAUAUGCUUAUAUCAUUUUUAAAUAGUGUUCUUAUCUGUUCUAGAAAUACUAGUUUAAAUAAAUCUGUGCUUGUCAA